GAUGAAGAACGUAGCGAAAUGCGAUAAGUAGUGUGAAUUGCAGAAUUCAGUGAAUCAUCGAAUCUUUGAACGCACAUUGCGCCCCUUGGUAUUCCAUGGGGCAUGCCUGUUCGAGCGUCAUUUGUACCUUCAAGCUUUGCUUGGUGUUGGGUGUUUGUCUCGCCUUUGCGUGUAGACUCGCCUUAAAAUAAUUGGCAGCCGGCGUAUUGAUUUCGGAGCGCAGUACAUCUCGCGCUUUGCACUCAUAACGACAGCAUCCAAAAGUACAUUUUACACUCUUGACCUCGGAUCAGGUAGGGAUACCCGCUGAACUUAAGCAUAUCAAUAAGCGGAGGA
rnacentral:misc_RNA from 1 species